rnacentral:tRNA from 1 species
GGAGGAGUGCCUGAGUGGUUGAAAGGGCUGCUCUCGAAAAGCAGUAGGCCCCAACGGGUCUCGCGAGUUCGAAUCUCGCCUCCUCCGCCA